rnacentral:lncRNA from 1 species
AAAGGGGCUGCCUGUUCCCUAUUGUAAUUGGGCACAACAUUUGCAGCGGCCCCGUUCCCAGUCCGUUAACCCACCUGGUCCAGACUUUCCCCAAUACCAAACAACCCCGUUUUGUCCCGGAUUAAUCCCCACCCUUCAUCUCACUUGAUCCAGUGAUAGAGAACUAAUCUUGUGUUUCCCUUGUAACUGUCCGAAACGACCACCCCAACCCCCAUAACCCUUCUCAGAUCAUCCCCCUUUCCCUUCUCUCACCCUCCGCCACACGCCAUCGCCGGAAUUCGCCCUCGGCAGCGGCCAACCUCCAACUAGCCCCAAAUUACCCCCAGAUAUUCCUUGCUUUCUCCACAUGACCAUCCCACAUUUAGCUUCUUCCAAAACCUCAAUGAAACCCUCGAAUUGUAGAUCUAGGAACUGAACCCUAGCCGCCACUCGGUUCUUCUUCAUUUCCUCGAUCGAUCUGUCCUCUUUACGGUUGAGACUUACAUCAGUAGAAAGCUGUUGAUGAGAACUAUCCAUUGAUGUAAGAUUCACUCCGUUUCUCGGAGGUCGGAUAUUGGUCAACCAGCCGUUGACCGGCCAGAACUUUUUCUGAGGCUACCUCUUUUGCUUCAUCUCGAGAUCAAAUGGGUAUAACUCAUUCCCUUUCUUCUUUUCUUAUUUCAUUUUUGUGUGUAUUUGUUCUGUUAAAUACAGUGGUGCCAAUCAUGUUUCAGAUUGAUUAAGUGUUAAUUGCAGGUAUUUUUAUUAGUUGAUAAAUGAGCAUAAAAAUUCAAUUACGCGUAUCUUGAUUACUUUGUUUAGCAUGAACUCUUGUUUGAUUAAAAUUGACUUGUCUAUUUGAUUCGUCGUUCAUUUUUCUUUCUGUUUUCGUUUUGUUUAUUUGAGCCUGUUUUUUUUGGGGAUUUGGAUAAAAAGAAAUCUAAAAAGGAAAAGUAAUAAGAACCGGGGGCAAAAAGUGUAAUUAUAGAAGUGGUGUCUUCUAUGCUAAGUUUGGUGUUGUUCCACUGCUGAUUUGUAUAUUAUGACUGUUAAAUAAGAAUUUAAUUAAAAAAAUGCAACCGAAUAUAAAGAAAUAAACUCACAUAGAAAUCAAUGUGUUAUUAUAUAGUAUAUAUACAUAUUUUAAAAAAAUUAUCGAGCUAAACAGUGUAAUUUUCGACGAAGGGGUGUCGGUACACCUCUUGGGUGCAUGUGGUUCCGCCACUGGGUGUGUAGUAAUGGGUGAUAAGAGGAGGCUGUUAUUGUCUUGUGUGGGUGUGACUUACCGAUUUAAUCAUUAAUUGGCCAGGUUGUUAAAUUUGAAGCCAAAAAGUGGGAUUAAACACCCUGAUGACGGGCAGGCUUGAAUUAAGAGCUGGGCAUCUUCUGUUUAUGUUUGGAUAUUGUUAUAAAUAAAAUGUAAUUAUAGUAAAACUACUCAUUCCUUGUUGAUUUCGUUAAGGAUUGUAAUUAAGAGGCUUAGUUGUAAAUUCUAGGAUUUUAGUAAAUUCAAAUGCAAGCUUUGGAGAUGAUUGCUUAUUCGCAGUUAGUUUUCUGAUAGCAUGAAGAUCUGGAUAAGGAUAGAAACUCAUUCUAAUCACAAUAUUCGAGUCAUUAUUAUGAUUGUUAAAUUUUGGCUAUUUUGCCAUUCGAAUGCAUAUAUAAACACAAUCACGAUUCUCUUCUGUUGGUAAUUAACGCCAAUUCCUGUUUGCGUAGAACUAGAAAUGAAUCUGGCAAAAGUCAGUAGUGGCUAGUAUCUAUAAUUAUUGGCCAUAAUCGUAACUGUAAUGGUGGCCUUACUUAGGGCCUGACUUUGGGCCUAAAAUUCAAAGGUUACAGAACCCAACACUCGUCCAUCACGUCCAACACUCGUUCAAACUCUCCCAUGUAAUCUCAAAUUUUAGGAAAGCAAAUAAUUCAUGAACAUCCUAAGUUUGCUUUAGGCACAUUUUUAAUCUACUAUUGUGAUUAUGUACAUGUUCAUGUGACAUAAUUAUGAUCCCAAAAAUAAGUCAAGGUACGCUUGACUUUGGACAAACAAUCUUAAUAAAUAAUUAAGUAUUAUUAAUUGUGUACACGUACGCGUGAAAUGACUUUGACAUGCCAAAUAAAAUGGAUUCUCACACACGUGAUCUGUUUUCAAGUUUAAUUCCAUAAUUUAAUAAUCAAGCAAAUUAAAAGAGGUAAAAGGUAAAAAUGCAACUAGGUUUAAAACACGUAAUAAUCGGAUAAUUAAGCCAAGUUAUGAUUGUAAAGUGAUUGCGCUAAAAUUACGGAAUCCGGGAAUGCCUAGCAUUUUCUUUCGAGUUAACAAAAUUUCUUACUCGUUCCUCACAAGGUAGGGGUAAGAUUUGCGUACACACUAUCCUCCCCAAACCCCACAGUGUGAGAUAAUACUGGGUAUGUUGUUAUUGGUGACUUGGGACACCGUAAAUAAUUAUUCCAACUGGCGACUCUAUAAAAAUAAAUUAAAUUAAUCUCAUUUUAAUAAUGCCACUUAAGAGACAAGGUGGGCUGCUCUGAUGGCAAGCACCCUCCACUUCCAACCAAGAGGUUGUGAGUUCGAGUCACCCCAAGAGCAAAUGUGGGUAGUUCUUGGAGGGAAGGAUGCCGAGGGUCUAUUGGAAACAACCUCCCUACCCUAGGGUAGGGGUAAGGUCUACGUACACACUACCCUCCCCAGACCCCACUAGUGGGAUUAUACUGGGUUGUUGUUGUUGUUGUUGUUGUUGUUUAAUAAUGCCACUUAAAUUGAAAAAACUCAUUUCCUUGUAAAAAGAAAGUGUGACAGAUUUGGCGACUCUGUUGGGGAUCGAACCCCAGAAUCUCUAGUUCAGGGUUCAGAAUUCAAGCUUGUAAUGUGAUUAUACUUGGCUUUAUUGAUUGUAUGAUAUUGUUGUGUUUGUGAGUCUAAUGUGUUAAUUGCCGCUCAAAUUAACGCUUUGAUAUUAUUUGAACUGUAUAAACUGUCUACUUAAGCAUCCAUUCCGAGCCUUCUGAAUUUAUGGUGUACACGUGCGCGUGACCCACUUUUCUGUUAGAGGUCAUACCAAUUAAAACAGGACUAGUUCAGUAACUAGGUUGGAUAUACUUUUGUGCUCUCGGUACGCUGCUCCCACCUAGGCUCAAGUUGUCCGCUUGGGUAAGCCGGGUCUAAAACACAUCCCUAGGAUUUCAACCUAGAAUAACAUAGCCUCAUGCCAGUUCCCUAGUAGAAACGUUUGUUUGCAUCAUGUGCAUUUGACUUUGGAGACUCAACACAAGGGUUGGGUACCCAAAAUUACAAGACUAUCUUGAUGCAUUUUACGUGCUACUAGUGCAUUUUAUUUGAUCUGAUUUGCAUGUUGAUCGAUUUUUAGAGCAUGGAUAGAAAAGUUGAAAAAAGCAAGAAUGAGAGGUAGGAGAGAAAAUUCAUCCCGUUUCUAAAAAUCCCAAUAUUUGAAAAAUUCUGAAACUCUACCGAAUUUGUGAAAAAAGAAAAGAAAGGUCAUUUCAAUAUGAGCUAAAAUUUUCAAGUGUCAUGUUUCCCAUGUUUUGUCAAAACUUACGAACUACGUGGGUGUGAUUCUCACCGGUUUGGGUUCGACCCCAUUUUUUUGCAAAAAUAACCAAAAACAAAUAAAAUACGUGUCCAGUUUUUUUGUAAAAUCAAAUAAGCCGACUUAACUUUGGUUAAUCCCGAGCCAUUUUUGUCGUAUUAGCCUUAGAACAUCUUCAAAUUGUUAAAGGGAUGUUCUCGCAAAAAACGGACGUGUCUGUUAAUUGGGUGUCACUUUUACUAUAAUGUCCUCCCCUGGCCCCUAAAACUUUCCUUGGAAGUACGAAGGGGCCAUAGUUGCAAAAUAGCCACCCUUUCCUUGGCCACAAUUGCAAAAAUAGCCAACAUCUCUUUGACUUUUCUUAAAAAUUGGGUUAUUUGCAAAAGAUUAUUUUGCAAAAAGAGUGUAUUGGUUUUGUCUUUUGAAACUAGUAUCAAUCCUAACCUUAACCGAAACUAGUAUCAAUCCUAACCUUAACCACCCACAGGUAUAAUAUGAGCACUGUCCAGAACACACCGUUGACGGUUGUAGACGAGGCUCCACUCCAGCUUCAGAUGUGGUGGUAUGACUUGGGGCAAGACGGGUAAAACUAGGUCACCAAGCACAUGGGAGCACUCACGGACAUUAUGAAAGUUAAACCACAAGAUGAUUUGAUCGAGGCACUAGUGAUCUUUUGGGAUCCCGUUCACAAUGUAUUUCGCUUCUCUAAUUUUGAGCUCACUCCCACCUUAGAAGAGAUAGCUGGAUACAUCGGGUUUGGCAUGGAUUUGAGAAAUCAAAAGCUCAUAUUCCCGAGGUCUCUCUCUGUACAUCAGUUCUUUGAUAAUCUGAAUAUCGGUAAGCAAAUUCAAAAGACCAACAUAGUCGAAUGGUGCUAUUCUUUCUACUUCCUGUACUCCAGGUUCAGACAACCAAAUGGAUUUGAAAUAAAUGAAAAGGGCCUUAACAACAAGCAGAACAAGGACACAUGGCAGAUUCACCGUCGCUUCACCUUCAUAGUGAUAUUUUUGGGAAUUAUGGUCUUCCCAAAUGCGGAGCGGACAAUUGAUACCCGUAUAUCCAAGGGUUGUACAUGUCCUCACUACCAAAGAACAUCACACUCUUGCCCCGAUCAUUCUAUCAGACAUCUAUCAGGCAUUGACUUUAUGUUAGUCCGGGGCAAAAUUCUUCAAAGGGUGCAAUGUUUAAUUGCAAAUGUGGUUGAUUGAGCAUCUUCGGCAUCACCCCAAGUUCAUGAGCUAUGGUCCAAGCAAGGAUAAUUUCAUUGAUAGUUACAAAGAAAGAGUAAGAGAUUACAACUCGCCAAAAGGGGUUAAAGCCUGGAUAUGCCUCCUAAGAUGUUUAAACGCAAGUCAAAUUGAGUGAACUUUGGGAUUGCUCCCGGUAAGAGAGGUGAUACACAUAUCAGCCCUGAAAAGGUAUUUGUUGCUAGUGGGUUUGAGAGGUGUCCAUCCCUAUGCACCACAAAGAGUUCUGAGACAGCUAGGAAGGUACCAAGUAGUGCCCGAGGAUUAAGAUUUGAGUGUGCAAGUGAUUGAGCUACACCUAGAAGCCCCACUCCCCAAGGCUUUAAUUUCGCAAAUUUGGGAUGGUUGUCGCUUCUCGAAAGAUGAUUCUCAGAUGCCGGAUCCUACGAGGGGUGAGGUAGAUCUGGGUUAUGCUAUGUGAUUUGGGAAGAGGUGCUGCGUAGAUGAUGAACCCGACCCCAAGCCCUAGCCCAAAAGUCCCGCAGAAAGACCGCAUGUUCAAGCCUUUGAUGAUAAGAUCCAAGAACGGUUGGCCUGGGGAGAAAAGGAAAAGGGAUACCAAACAACUAUCCAUGCUUUAGAAGAAAAGCUGAGAAACCUCAAUUUUGAGAAAUACUUACAAGCACAAGAAGCUGAAUAUGAAAAGAAGAGUCUGAUCCACGAAAAUAAAAUCCUUCGUGCUCAACUUCAACAGAUGAAGAAAGCCUCUGAAGUACCGGUUAGAAACUAGAAAGGCCAAAGAACUAUUGCCAGUUUGCUAGAAAAAAAUGCAAGAUUAUGAUGCCACUCUUGAAAAUACUGAAAAGGCAUUGGGAAAAGCCAAAGAAAAGAUUGGCCAACUAAAAUAAGAGAUAAAUAACCGUGUGAGGUUGUCACAUCAGACGAAGCAAUAUCACGACGAAGUGGUCUUCGCCCUUAGGAAAAUAUUGGGUGCCCGAGAAGAGGGUUUGGGUCGGCAGUCCAAGGAAUUUGAAGUAGAAAGGGAACAUUGCUAUGUGUUGCUCCACAAGCUGGAAUGUGAUGUAGUAAACCUGCAAAACCAGAACAAUAAGAUCGGGCGAGUAGUGGAAGUCUAAGAACAACAGAUUAUACGGUUGCUCCUGGAACGGAAUGCUACUACUUUACUUUGGUGAUAACUUUCGCUGACAAGGUCAUGGACGAUCUAGAAUUUCUUCACGUCAAGCUGGCAAACAGAUGAUUCCUUGGGCCCCAAUUGGAGUGUUUUUCGGAAGUCUUGAGUCAUUUCCCAUUGUACUAGUUUUCUUUAUCGAGUCUGUAUGUUUUGUUUUCUUAAUCGAGUCUGAAUGUUUUGUUUUCACAUCGAGUCUGUUGUUUUUUUUGAGUCUAUAUGUCCUUUCUGGAGUUAGUGUUUGAUGUAAUUUCGAAUCUUUGUAACGAAAACCCAAAAUUUCUUUGUUUUAUUUUUACAUUACUUUCCUGAACUACAUAAUAGUCAGAUUCAUGCGGCGUCAUGAUACGUAGGUAAUACUCAUCGGAUGUGAUCAUAGCCAUAAAGAAUUUGAGUUAGAAUAAAAUAAACAAAAGAGAAAAAUAAAAAGCGACAAAACAAAUUAGAAAAACAAAGAGUGACCAAACGAGGGAAAAAAAAUCAAGAGUGAAGAAAUCGGUAGGACCAGGAGAGAGCGUUAAAACCUAAAGAGAGCAGAAAAGAGAGCCAAGAUGGAACAUGCGACCGUUCAAACACAUGGUAGAAAUGUCUAACUAUUUAAGUGCAUUUCAUCCCAACAUGCGAUUUCCUAUGCGUUAAAUGCCUCAAACUAACAAGGUUGUUGUGUGUGCCAAUUAGUUAGAUUCUAUUUAGGUGGUUGGUUUUGUUGGUAAUAUGGUUUCCUAUCCAUACUUCACCGUAUCAAAAGGAAAGGUCCCUAUGGCUUUCGAAAGUAGUCUACCAAUUAUCAACCCCGAAGAUAGCCCAACACUGGCUAUUCCAUAGCUAGAGUCAGCUAUUGCUGAAGAAAUCAGAAUGCUACGCCUCCGCAUGCUAGAGAUGUGGGACGCAUGGUCUAACGGGAGGGAAGCACUAAGUGUAAUCCCUGGGUUUCCCGAGUUGAUACCGAGAUCAGGUAGGGCUUCUUAUGCCCCUAUGUCCAACCUGUUUAUCCCAUGCGGGUACCUCCCAAUGUCGACUAAUGGUCCCGUCAUGCCUUAUGUGGUUCAAGGGCAUUGCCAGUAAUGUUCUCUGCAACAUCUGUCUUUACAUGGCGCAACGAACUGUAUCCAGGACGUAUAUUGAGCCUCCAAUUUUUACAUUCCAGGGUCCACAGUUUCAAUCAGACAUGACCUAUGUCACCCCAGACUCAUACACACGACCUCCACAGUAUGAGUUCCAGACCGAACAAGAAAGAAUGGCCAAGAAUCCCGAGCAAGAAGAAAUGGCUCGAUAAAUGAAAAGCUUGGAGUAGAGUUUAAAGAAUAUGUAGGGCUUGAGCGGCCAAAAUAGUGUUUCUUACUCUGAUUUGUGCAUGUUUGUUAGCUGGGCUAGUGCAGGUUUUGUUCAUCACGAUCACGUAGAAGGGGUCGCGAUCGCGGAGCUGGAUCAGGUGGUUCUUCGCGUUCGCAUGGGCAGAGUCGUGAACACAGUGGGUUGUGGAGGCAGGCCUAUUUGGGAGAGCUGUGCUAUGCGAUCGCAGAAGUACUCACGCGAUCGCGUAGGAGGUAAGUCACUUAGUAUAAGUUAGCCCUUCAUGUUGUUUGGUCCGCGUUCGCGGAGGUUUGGGCAGGCUAUGCUUCGCGAUUGCGAGAAGGAUCUCGUGUUCGCAUAGAGCAUUUCCCUGGGCGAGGCUGGUUGGCCUCCCCGAUUGCGAGGUGUUUUCGCAUUCGCGAGGUGUUUUUCGCGAUCGCGAAGAAAGGUCGUCUGGGCAGAGUUGUUUUAAGACGGGACUUAGCUCUCAUUUCUCUCAUUUUCACUUGGUGGGGCGAUAUUUGGAGCUCUUGAAGACGGGAUUUUCAUCAUUUAUUAUGAGGUAAGUUAUUCCCACUUAUUGUGAGUUAAAUACUUGGAUUAUAUAUAGAGUUUUACAUGCAAUUUGAUACAAAUUGUUGGAUUUUUGAAGAAAACCUUGAAAUCAUAUUUUUGGAUUUUGACCACGAAAUGGGACAUGGAAUUUGGAAUAAAUUAUAUAUUUGAGUUCGUGGCAUUAUGGGUAAAGUUUAUCUUUGAUAAUUUUCGGAAUCCGGGUAUGUUGGCCUGAGGGUUGAGUUUGUUGAGUUUUUGAGCGGAGUUAGGAAUUAUUACAAAUUGAUUAAUUAUGUGUGUUGGAAUAUAUUUUUAUUGGUUUGUGUGUUGUUUGACUAGUUUCGAAUUGAUGUGCAUCGGUUUGAUGUGUUAGAGAGGCGUUGGAGUUAGUUAUGGAAUUUCGGAGCGAGGUAAGUCUUAUGUCUAAUCAUGUGGGGGGGAACUGCCCCAUAGGUGUGUAUUUGUUAUAUGCUACUUGUUGUGGGGGCCAUGUACGCAUGAGAUGACGAGAGUCCAUACGUGGCUAAUAGCAUGCUUAUGUCCGGGUAGACUUAGGACUUUAUCAUGCAAUAUUUGUAUUAUCUGAAAUCACCUUGUUAGUUUAAUUACCUAAGAUAAAUGAAAUGUGAUUAGAGAUCAUGUUUGAUCGAAUCUCAUUACCUUGAGUUGUUGGCAAGAUGUUCGAAAAUUGCUAAAAGUCAUGAUCACUNNNNNNNNNNNNNNNNNNNNNNNNNCGGGACGUACGACCUCGGCAGUGUAUGUGCACAACUAUAUGGAUCGGGCCGAACGACCUCGACAUAAUUUAUGCGUAAAAUCGUUAGGAGUCCAAAUAUCCACGAGAUUACCCUCUUAAUUAAACUUGAAAAUUUCAUAAUAUUUUCUUUUUGACCUGAGAUCAGAUAUCAAUUUGAGGGUUCUCAUUUGUUAAGAUAGCACGUGGUACUUGGGGACAUCUAAACUAAUAAUAAUUGUUAACAGAUGUCAUUAUCUACCUUUCUUUAUUCUGUUGAUCCUAUUGUAUUUCAUGUCUACAUAUGAUUUUUGCAUUUUAUUUAUUAGACCACUAGUAAGUGUCGAAAGUGUCGAUGUCGACCCCUCUUCACUACUUCUCUAGGGUUAGGCUAGGUACUUGCUGGGUACGCGUUGAUUUACGUACUCAUGCUACACUUCUGUACUAAAUGUGCAAGAUCUGACAGGUUGCUUUGAUGGUCAUCUUGGCGCGUCGGCGCAACUGUUGAGGGGAAUUUAUGGCGAGUUAUUUUUUAUGCUACGGACCGCAGCCCUCAGAGUCUCCAUCUUAUUUAUUUACUUUAUCCUGUUUAUUUUAUAUCUCAAACGAAUGUUGUAUUAUUAUUGUACUCCUUAGUAAAUGCUCAUGCACUUGUGACACCGGGU